AUGGUCGCCGUAGUUGAACUUCCAUGGACAAGCUGUCAUGUCUACGAACACAUGCAUCGCAUACCGAUCACUAGAAGGAGUAGUGGAGAAAGCUAG
rnacentral:rRNA from 1 species